rnacentral:sRNA from 1 species
AAAAUAGGCUUAAGUACCAAGGGAUCUCUCAAGAAUGAUUGAGCUUUAGUAGAAUGCUUAAGGUAAGUCCCAAGUUAUGCAUAUAGAGAUAAGAUCGCAUCUACCCAGAGUAUAACAAUGAAGCUCUAAUGGUAAUCCCAACUCCAGUCCCAACUUAACUCUACCCUUUGCACUCAUGAAUCUUUCAAACUUU